GAAGUCGAAUUGCCUCUGAAGUGACACCAUUAGCUUUAACAGUAUCAGCGUAUUGGACAAAUACGGAUAAAUGAAGGUUUGGAUCUUCGGUAAGAUUUCCAGAGAAUUGGUUCUGUUGCACAGCCUGCAACAGCGAAGGUUUAAGUUCGAAGUUGUUUGCUUCGAUUGCGGGCGGAGCAAUACUUGAAUGCGGUUCAUCUUGCGAUGGAGCGGCG
rnacentral:lncRNA from 1 species